UUUGACUGCCAUAGCGUUGUGGCCCCACCUGAUCCCAUGCCGAACUCAGAAGUGAAACGCACCCGCGCCGAUGAUAGUGUGGCAGCUGCCAUGUGAAAGUAGGUCACAGUCAAAC
rnacentral:rRNA from 1 species